rnacentral:rRNA from 1 species
GACGCCGCGUGAGGGAUGACGGCCCUAGUGGUUGUAAACCUCUGUCAGGAGGGAAUAAAGCACGAUAGUAAACAGCUAUCGUGUCUGAAGGUACCUCCAAAGGAAGCUCCGGCUAACUCCGUGCCAGCCCCUUCGGUGACUGAGCGGGCUGGCAAGGCGCAUA